GCUCCAUGCUACAUCAACAUAUGCAUUGGAGGUAUAUUCUGAGCAAGUAAGGAGCUGCAUAGAAAUAGCUUUAAGUUGUGUAGAGGCUGAUCAAUGCAAAAGGCCGAGCAUUGGAGAAAUCGUUGAUAAGUUAAUUCAGACGGAGACUGCGAUUCACAAAAUGACCCAAUCACCAGGAAAAUCAAUGGAUCAGGUGUGGUCCUUUAUGACACAACAUUUUACUAUGCAUUUCAUCUAUUUCAUUUUCCCCGUCAAAUAAAAUUAAAAGCAUAAUUUAAACAUAUAGCUGGUGCAUCAUGUUGGGAUAUAUUAUGUAGAUGGGCUCCUGCUUGCUGGAUGCAUCUGAAAAGAGAGGAAGAGAGUUGUUAGGUGUCCAUCCCCUCCAGCUCCGAUUCCCCUUUGAACCGAACAAGUUGAUCCCCUGCCAACUUAAUCUAACGAACAACUCGGAUGAGUAUGUCGACUUUAGGUGUGUCCCAAAAAACCCCAAGAGUUUCUUGAAUGGACUGUCACGGCUCCAUGGAAGCAUGCCGCCAAACACCAGUUGCAUAUACAUUGUAACGAUGGAAAAGCACCAGCAACCACCUGCAAACAUGGUCACUCUUGAUGUUAUCCUAGAGAGCUGGGUAGGAUAUAGAUACACGUGUGGGUGGGGUAUGGAUGACUACUUCUCUACGGGGUCCAAAGAGGAUCUGAGCGGCUGUCCGGUGCAUAAGCUAACACUGAAGGCUGUUUGUGAGCCAGCAGUCGAGAUGAUGGCAUCUGAUGUUAGCCAUAUUGUUCUUCUGUGCAAAUUAACCAAUCUUAGCUUCAGAUGAUGCAUAUUUAGUUAUGUGAUAUUUCUUUGUUAUUUUCUUCUCUUGUCAACGGCCUGUUGGUGCUAUUCAUUACCUGACAGCCAAUCAAACCAGGAAUGAAAGUAAGGACUUUUAUUCUCCUACGUACGUGUACGUAUUUCUUAAUUAUUUUCACUGGACUGUAUUAAGAAAACUAUUUGUUUAGGUCAUGUACUGCAGGGAUGGCACUUUGUCGGAAAUACUAUCGAUGUAUGUGCGUCCAACGAAGCCUUGGAUUUUGGCAGCUCAUGGAAGUGGGCAUGUAUCCAUUUGGAACUAUGAGACACAGGAGAGAGUGAUGUCGCUAAGACCUGUAAAGGAGCCAGCACCAUGUGCUUGGGAUCAUUGGAUGCUUUCUGCUAAAUUCAUCGCGCGGGA